AGCAGCAGCAGCAGCAGCAACAGUGAAUAUUCGGUACUUGUUUGUUUAGUUUGAUUCCGGAUGUGUUUGUGCAUGAUGAUGAGCUAUACAACUUACUUCUGCGUGCACAUGCUUACUUGAUCAUUGGGCGAAUUUGGAGUUGUCAGUCGAAUUUUCUUAAUAAAUUGGUGAACUUGGAAAUGUUCUUGCAAUUUCUAUAUCUUAAGUAGUAGCUAUGCAAUCUAGAAUUACAUGGGUUUUAUAUUUUUGUGAAGGAAUGGAAUCAGUAGGAUCUUGCCAGUUGCUAUUAAGCUGAUUGAAAAAGAACAUUGAAACGACAUAAAACUACCUAUCCUCACUUACCAAUAUGUACAGUAUCUGCUACAGUUAUGUUUUUCACAAGAUGAACAAUGUCUAAAACGGGGUUUAAAGUUUCCCUAAGGUGUUAGAAAUGAAGAAAUACAAAGACUGAUUUUGCUUGUUGCCAUUAGAAGUUUAAACCAUACAUCUCAAAUAGACCAGGUUCCCCUUAAGCUGGACUUCCAGAACUCUUGGUGUAGAUUCUGAGCAAUUUCACUUGAAAGUUAUAUUAUUCAUUCUGUGGGUUGUUGGCUUGUUGUAUAUUUCAAGUAGUCACGCUUGAAAAUUGGAUGCAUGUAGUGAUCUAUGCUAAAUUCAGUUACCUUCACAUAAAUUAAAGUUAAUCUGUGUAGCUAGAUUUUGCAUUGUACGACACAGUUUGACUUCAUAUAUUUUGAGUCCCAGAAAGAUUGAGCGCAUUAAUUUGAGAAAUGACCCCUUCAACCAUUCAGUGCAUUAUAUCUUAGUUUAUGAUUUUGUCAUCUUCACUUUUGGCAUGUUUUCCGAUCUUCCAUGGGCGAGAGAUGAAGUAUCUGUAUCUUGCAACUUCAUCUGAGCAUGCGUCUCUUGAAUACUCUUAUGAGCACCCUUGGAGACCUGAUAUUGCGUGCAAGUUAGUUCUCUAGGAAGUACUAUUUCUUGAACAUUGAAUGUGAUUACGGCAUUUAAGCUAGUAAGUGUCCAUAAAAGUUCCAGAAUUUUGCAGGUAAGCUUAUUCAGUAUUCACAAUAUGCCUGCAUGUCCAACCAAGAGGACUGUCAAACUAUGCCAAUUGUUAGUUUCCUGCAUAAGUGUACUUUGAUGCUAUCUGAAAUUCAGAAUGAGAUGAGGCAUCUUCAGUAUUCAUGCUCUUUUUAUUGUAAAGAAAUGGAAGCAGCUUUCACAUUAUCUUAUCUGCUCGAAUAAGACCCUGUUUGUUUCAGGGAAUGAUGCUGGUGGAAAAGGAAAGUCUUUCCUUUCCGUUGUUUGGAAUCGCAAGAAAAUAAGAGGGAAAGGAAAUUGCUUCCCGGCUGAUGGGAAAAUUAAGCGGAAUUUCCUUCCCUCCACCCAACCCCAGGAUUUAUUUUCCCUCACAAAAUCCUGCAAUCAUUGCACUUCUUUUUGACUAAACUGUCCUUGCUCUAAAUUUCAUCUUCCAGUUUUAACCAUGCCUUUAUAAAUCUGUAACCUAACACAGACAGACAAACUAAACCACUUCCAAACGCAGACCGGAGAAGAACUGAAGUAUUUCCAUUUGAUAUUCCUCUAUCUAUCAGUUUCCUCUCACAGCAACCGCAAGGAUGGAUUCGCAAGCAAACUUGUCAAGAUCCUCAGCUACUAGAAGUGAAAGAAGUACUUUUGAAUGAGCAUGCAACAUCCACAAAAAGAGCCUACUUGACAAUUUAAAGGGCCAAUGGAUUUACAGGACUCUUAACCAGUAGAGGAAUGGAUUCUCAAGACUAAUGUUGGCCUCAAAGCUUUUGUUAAUAUUUUGGAGUGUAGUGAUGGCUCAGCAUUAUAUUUU